rnacentral:rRNA from 1 species
AGGGUUUGAUCCUGGCUCAGAGCGAACGCUGGCGGCGUGGCUUAGGCAUGCAAGUCGAGCGCGAAAGUUUCCUUCGGGAAGCAAGUAGAGCGGCGAAAGGGUGAGUAAUGCAUAGGCAACCUACCCCCAACUCCGGUAUAGCGUCUGGAAACGGACGGUAAUCCCGGAUGGUCCCCCUGUCGGGCAUCCGACUCGGGGUAAAGAUGGGGAUCUUCGGACCUUUCGGUCGGGGAGGGGCCUAUGUCCCAUCAGCUUGUUGGUGAGGUAACAGCUCACCAAGGCGAUGACGGGUAGCCGGACUGAGAGGUUGGCCGGUCAUACUGGGACUGAGACACUGCCCAGACUCCUACGGGAGGCUGCAGUCGAGAAUCUUCCGCAAUGGGCGCAAGCCUGACGGAGCGACGCCGCGUGGGGGAUGAAGGCCUUCGGGUUGUAAACCCCUGUCACGAGUUAUGAAACGCCAUGCGUUAAUACCGUAUGGUCUGACAAAGGCUCGAGAGGAAGUCAUGGCUAACUCCGUGCCAGCAGCCGCGGUAAUACGGAGAUGGCAAGCGUUGCUCGGAAUCACUGGGCAUAAAGGGCGUCUAGGCGGAUCGACAAGUCGGCUGUGAAAGUCCUCGGCUCACCCGAGGAAGUGCAUCCGAAACUGCCGGUCUUGAGGACGAGAGGGGAGAGUGGAACUCCUGGUGGAGCGGUGAAAUGCGUAGAUAUCAGGAGGAACGCCGGUGGCGAAAGCGACUCUCUGGCUCGUUCCUGACGCUGAAGCGCGAAAGCUAGGGGAGCGAACGGGAUUAGAUACCCCGGUAGUCCUAGCCGUAAACGAUGAGCACUGAGUAGUGGCGAAUCGAUGUCGUCAUUGCCGCAGCUAAUGUGUUAAGUGCUCCGCCUGGGGAGUAUGGUCGCAAGGCUAAAACUCAAAGGAAUUGACGGGGGCUCACACAAGCGGUGGAGGAUGUUGCUUAAUUCGAAACAACGCGAAGAACCUUACCUGGGCUUGACAUCACGGUGGUAGGACCCUGAAAGGGGAACGACCCGGGGCAACCUGGGAGCCGCGACAGGUGUUGCAUGGCUGUCGUCAGCUCGUGCCGUGAGGUGUUGGGUUAAGUCCCGUAACGAGCGAAACCCUUGUCGUUAGUUGCCAGCGAGUAAUGUCGGGGACUCUAACGAGACUGCCGGUGUCAAACCGGAGGAAGGUGGGGACGACGUCAAGUCAU